CUCCGCAUCUGCUCCUUCAUCCAGUGCCGCAGCCGGAAAACCGCAGCGGCGGCGGCGGCGGCUGAGGGGGAACGAUCCAGCGAGCUGCAGAAAGGGGGGCAGGAAAAAAUUACAAGGACAUUACUGAUAAGACAGGAACUGAGAGCUUGGGAUUCGCGGCCUCUCCCCGGCCACCACCUUCGCCGUCAGCAAGGGAGGAAGACCCGGGAGACGGCAGCGGCGACGGCGGCAGGGGAAGGAGGAGACGGCGACGGGAGGGAGCACAGAGGAGGGGACGGGCCGGCGGCGGCCUGUGAGCCGCAGUGAUUUUGACGUUUUCCGCUGCUGCGUCUCCGGCGGGCAGGGGCCGGGCUGCGCUGGGUGGGCCAGCUCGCCCCGCGCUUCCCCCUCGUCCUGCUCGUCCCUCCGCCCACCCGGGGCCUGAGGGGUCUCCCCGCUCCGAGGGAAGGGGAGAGGGAGGCGAGGGCGUGCGGGCAUCGCGAUGGCGGGGACAUUUUCCACAACGUGAUUGUUGAAGGCUCCCCCCAUCCCCCCUCCCUUAAAAUUCCGGGCCCUUCCAGCCUCCACCCUCCCCCAAGCCCGUGUGACUAAACCGAGACAAAGGGGAGGCGGCCUCGCUCACACGCGGGCUCGCGGGGCGGGUGGCUCGGAGGGGCGCGG
rnacentral:lncRNA from 1 species